ensembl:snRNA U6 U6 spliceosomal RNA
GUGCUCGCUUUGGCAGCACAUAUACUGAAAUUGUAACGAUACAGAGAAGAUUAGUGUGGCCCCUACACAAGGAUGACACACAAAUUUGUGAAGUGUUCCAUUUUUUU